GAACAUCUUCUCUAUUGUAUCACACAGUCUACUUUUAAGGACAGACAUUGCCAAAUAAAGUUUUUGGAUGAUUCAUGUCAGUACAAAGAAAAAUUAAUUAUUAUACUACAGAAAUAGGUUUAGAAGUGUUGGAAGUGUCGUUGUCAUUGAGUUAGACUUCAAUAAAGGCUCCAUAGAUGGUUUUGUCCCCGGGCGCUGAAGACAGAUACUCAGAAAUGCCAAAGAGAACAAGUGAAAGCUUUCAGAAAGACUGGUGUCAAACUGAUUGUUACUGUAGGUGCAGCAGAAUGAGUUAAAGUCAGGUGAAAGGGGUAGGGGGUUUAAAACAACACUUAAACAGCAGAG